rnacentral:rRNA from 1 species
AGAGAGAGACAUGCGCGCAUAUCAAUAAGCGGAGGAAAAGAAACUAACUAGGAUUCCCUCAGUAACGGCGAGUGAAGCGGGAAGAGCUCAAAUUUGAAAUCUUCAAGGUUCUACCUUGACGAAUUGUAGUUUAAAGAAGUGUUUUCUGUUGGAGUUUUGGUAAAAGUUCUUUGGAAUAGGACAUCCAUAGAGGGUGAGAAUCCCGUAUUUGACCAUUAUUUCCAACUUUGUGAUACACUUUCAAAGAGUCGGAUUGUUUGGGAAUGCAGUCCAAAAUGGGUGGUAAAUUUCAUCUAAAGCUAAAUACUGGCGAGAGACCGAUAGCGAACAAGUACCGUGAGGGAAAGAUGAAAAGAACUUUGAAAAGAGAGUUAAACAGUACGUGAAAUUGUCAAAAGGGAAGCGUUUGACACCAGUGUUGUUUUCUCGAAAAUCAAUUAAAAAUGGCAGGAUUUCGUGUUGUAUUGACUUUAUCAGCCUUCUGCACUUUUUUCUUGUCUUUUUUAAUGCACUUUUCGUUUAACAAGUCAACAUCAAUUUCUUUUGCUGUAAAAGGGUCAUUGGAAGGUGGCUUUCUUUUCGGAGAAAGUGUUUAUAGCCUUUGACUUCUGCAAUCGGAGAGAUUGAGGUCUGCAGCGUAGAUCCUUCGGGGUUAGAUGCAUUUGUGCUAAGUUAUAGCCUCUCAUAGACAACUUGUUGACUAUGAUCAGUCAUGUAGCUUACUCGCUUAUGCUAUUUUACCUACGCUUAGGAUGUUGACAGCAGUAUAGACUGU